rnacentral:rRNA from 1 species
UUUGAAUGGGGGCAACCUGUAUCCAUUCAUGCCGCGUGAGUGAAGAAGGCCUUCGGGUUGUAAAGCCCUUUUGUCAGGGAAGAAACACCGGCUCUAACACAGUCCGGGAAUGACGGUACCUGAAGAAUAAGCACCGGCUAACUACGUGCCAGCAGCCGCGGUAAUACGUAGGGUGCGAGCGUUAAUCGGAAUUACUGGGCGUAAAGCGUGCGCAGGCGGUUAUACAAGACAGGCGUGAAAUCCCCGGGCUUAACCUGGGAAUGGCGCCUGUGACUGUAUAGCUAGAGUGUGUCAGAGGGGGGUAGAAUUCCACGUGUAGCAGUGAAAUGCGUAGAUAUGUGGAGGAAUACCAAUGGCGAAGGCAGCCCCCUGGGAUAACACUGACGCUCAUGCACGAAAGCGUGGGGAGCAAACAGGAUUAGAUACCCUGGUAGUCCACGCCCUAAACGAUGCUGACUAGUUGUUCGGGAUUUACAUCCUGAGUAACGUAGCUAACGCGUGAAGUCAGCCGCCUGGGGAGUACGGUCGCAAGAUUAAAACUCAAAGGAAUUGACGGGGACCCGCACAAGCGGUGGAUGAUGUGGAUUAAUUCGAUGCAACGCGAAAAACCUUACCUACCCUUGACAUGUCACUAACGAAGUAGAGAUACAUUAGGUGCUCGUAAGAGAAAGUG